AACAUGGCAAAGUCGAACGAUGAUGCCCAGCUUGCUGGGCGGAUUAGUGGCGAACGGGUGAGUAAUACGUGAGUAACCUGCCCUUGACUCUGGGAUAAGCCUGGGAAACUGGGUCUAAUACUGGAUACUACCUCUUGCCGCAUGGUGGGUGGUGGAAAGGGUUUUACUGGUUUUGGAUGGGCUCACGGCCUAUCAGCUUGUUGGUGGGGUAAUGGCUCACCAAGGCGACGACGGGUAGCCGGCCUGAGAGGGUGACCGGCCACACUGGGACUGAGACACGGCCCAGACUCCUACGGGAGGCAGCAGUGGGGAAUAUUGCACAAUGGGCGGAAGCCUGAUGCAGCGACGCCGCGUGAGGGAUGACGGCCUUCGGGUUGUAAACCUCUUUCAGUAGGGAAGAAGCGAGAGUGACGGUACCUGCAGAAGAAGCGCCGGCUAACUACGUGCCAGCAGCCGCGGUAAUACGUAGGGCGCAAGCGUUGUCCGGAAUUAUUGGGCGUAAAGAGCUCGUAGGCGGUUUGUCGCGUCUGCUGUGAAAGCCCGGGGCUCAACCCCGGGUCUGCAGUGGGUACGGGCAGACUAGAGUGCAGUAGGGGAGACUGGAAUUCCUGGUGUAGCGGUGAAAUGCGCAGAUAUCAGGAGGAACACCGAUGGCGAAGGCAGGUCUCUGGGCUGUUACUGACGCUGAGGAGCGAAAGCAUGGGGAGCGAACAGGAUUAGAUACCCUGGUAGUCCAUGCCGUAAACGUUGGGCACUAGGUGUGGGGGACAUUCCACGUUUUCCGCGCCGUAGCUAACGCAUUAAGUGCCCCGCCUGGGGAGUACGGCCGCAAGGCUAAAACUCAAAGGAAUUGACGGGGGCCCGCACAAGCGGCGGAGCAUGCGGAUUAAUUCGAUGCAACGCGAAGAACCUUACCAAGGCUUGACAUUCACCGGACCGCCCCAGAGAUGGGGUUUCCCUUCGGGGCUGGUGGACAGGUGGUGCAUGGUUGUCGUCAGCUCGUGUCGUGAGAUGUUGGGUUAAGUCCCGCAACGAGCGCAACCCUCGUUCUAUGUUGCCAGCACGUGAUGGUGGGGACUCAUAGGAGACUGCCGGGGUCAACUCGAAGGAAAGUGGGGAUGACGUCAAAUCAUCAUGGCCCCUUAAGGCUUGGGCUUCACGCAUGCUACAAUGGGCCGGUACAAAGGGUUGCGAUACUGGGGAGUUG
rnacentral:rRNA from 1 species